rnacentral:rRNA from 1 species
GAUGAACGCUGGCGGCGUGCCUAAUACAUGCAAGUCGAGCGAACAGACGAGGAGCUUGCUCCUCUGACGUUAGCGGCGGACGGGUGAGUAACACGUGGAUAACCUACCUAUAAGACUGGGAUAACUUCGGGAAACCGGAGCUAAUACCGGAUAAUAUAUUGAACCGCAUGGUUCAAUAGUGAAAGACGGUUUUGCUGUCACUUAUAGAUGGAUCCGCGCCGCAUUAGCUAGUUGGUAAGGUAACGGCUUACCAAGGCAACGAUGCGUAGCCGACCUGAGAGGGUGAUCGGCCACACUGGAACUGAGACACGGUCCAGACUCCUACGGGAGGCAGCAGUAGGGAAUCUUCCGCAAUGGGCGAAAGCCUGACGGAGCAACGCCGCGUGAGUGAUAAAGGUCUUCGGAUCGUAAAACUCUGUUAUUAGGGAAGAACAAAUGUGUAAGUAACUAUACACGUCUUGACGGUACCUAAUCAGAAAGCCACGGCUAACUACGUG